rnacentral:rRNA from 1 species
AGAGUUUGAUCCUGGCUCAGAAUGAACGUUGGCGGCGUGGAUUAGGCAUGCAAGUCGCGCGCGAUAGAUUUGGUGGUAACAUUAGAUCUUGAAAGCGGCGAAAGGGAGAGUAACGCGUGGAUAUCUGCCCUUGGCUCCAGGAUAGCUACGGGAAACUGUAGGUAAUACUGGAUAAUAUCUCCGGAUCAAAGGUGUGAUUCCGGCCGAGGAUGAGUCCGCGUCCUAUUAGGUUGUUGGCGGGGUAAUGGCUCACCAAGCCAAAGAUGGGUACCGGGUGUGAGAGCAUGGCCCGGCUCACUGGGACUGAGACACUGCCCAGACGUCUACGGAUGGCUGCAGUCGAGAAUCUUCCGCAAUGGACGAAAGUCUGACGGAGCGACGCCGCGUGCGGGAUGAAGGCCUUCGGGUUGUAAACCGCUGUCAGUUGGGAGGAAGUGCUAUAGGGUUCUCUCUAUAGCUUGACCGAUCUUCAGAGGAAGUACGGGCUAAGUACGUGCCAGCAGCCGCGGUAAUACGUACCGUACGAACGUUAUUCGGAAUCACUGGGCUUAAAGAGUCCGUAGGCGGCUUUAAAGGUGAGGUGUGAAAUCCCACGGCUUAACUGUGGGACUGCGCUUCAAACCAUAAGGCUCGAGGGAGAUAGAGGAAAGCGGAACUGAUGGUGGAGCGGUGAAAUGCGUUGAUAUCAUCAGGAACACCGGUGGCGAAAGCGGCUUUCUGGGUCUCUUCUGACGCUGAGGGACGAAAGCUAGGGGAGCGAACGGGAUUAGAUACCCUGGUAGUCC